GUGCUAGCUUCAGCAGCAUACAUACAAAAAUUGGAAUGAUUUAGAGAAGAUUAGCAUAGCCCCAUGCAAGGAUGACACACAAAUUCAUGAAGCGCUCCAUAAUUUU